UCUGGAGUCUUCUAGAUGGUAGAAAAUUGCGCUGCACGUUAAUAUCUCUAUGUAAUCCUGACAUGUGGGCCUUUCUUCCAUAUUUCCUGAUAACCCCCUGCAGAAAUAGACAAACACCAAAACUCAUGGAAUUCUAUCAGAUAAAACCCUAAGUCUAGGUGUUGGUUGCAUUUGGAUCCUUUUCCAUGAUUAGUUGAUUGUUAAAUGUGAGCAUUAAGGACCGUCAACAAGCUCCCCCAAGCUUAACCUUUGCUCGUCCCUGAGCAAAGCUAAAAUCAACAAGAAAACAGGGGUUACUUUUAUGCCUCUUACUACUGGGUUGUUAAGUUAUCACUAAGGUCUUAAGUGAUUGAAAAAUAGAACGAUCAAGUCAAGCACUAUGUCUCAAGUUCUUCUGUCUUACCUUUGUUCUGGAGUUUUCUGUAAGUUUCCAAAAUAAAACUUAGGCAUUUGCCUUCUUCUCGAAAGAUAUAUAAGUAGAGCUCUAAAAGUUUUAGCAUACUUACUUUGCAUUUUGCUAUGUCAAUGCUCGUAGCAAGGGAGAGGAAUGUCAUACUCCUAGAUCAAGAACUUUGACCUUUUUCAAAAGUUUGUCAUCUCUUACUGGCAUAUUGCUUAUUAGAGGGACCAUGGGCUAUCAUUUAUUUCUUUCUUUCUUUUCUUCAAUCUCUCUCUCUUCUUUUUUUUCUUCUCUUUUUUUUCAAGUGGGCACCAAGUAGCCCUAAUUCUACUAUCGGACACGUGUCCAUUUUUUCCACUCAGGUGGGUAUCUUUGUACCCCUAAUUCUACUUCGGACACUUGUCCAUUUUUACCGCUCGUCCCACUCUCUUUUUUUUCGAAUCAAAUUUUUGCAUAGUCCCAUGCCUCUAAUGCAAUAAUACUUCGGAAGAGUGAAUCUUUUAUAUUUUUUUAAAAAAAGAUCUUGAUCUUUGGAGCAUGAUAAUUCUCUCAACCAAAACUACAAGAAUUAACAAUGGCUUGAACAAAGCAAGUGCCCACAGUUUUAAUAUUUAUAUCUAUUAAGACUCUAGGUAUUAUGACCUCAUCAUUUUUUAAGAAUUUUUAGAUUUUCAAAAGAUAAAAUCUCUGGAACUCUAGCAAAACUUGGAACAAGUUAAAUAGUAGCUCAGACCUUCUCAUAUCAUGUUUGUUAUUUACAUAGACUUGGAUCAAACUUUCUUUUAAUUUUAUUUAAAACUUAGGAUUACACAAAACUAUUGUAUAUUACUCAAAAGAAAAACUUUGUUUGGUUUCAUGAUUAUGCAUUUUUUUAUUUAUUUUUGAAUACUAGUAAAUAAAACCAAGAAAGAAAAGUAAUACUUAUCUAGGUACACGUGGGGAUGCCUCCCCCAAGCUGGAUGUUGACAUAGUCGUUCACUCUUGUGGCCUGCUUGUUUGGUCUCACUCAUCUUAAGCCUCAAAAUCCUGCACAACCCAAAUAGACAACAAAACUUGUGGAGCAUAUUAAGGGUUAGGUAAUUGUCUAGAGCUUAUGAGAGCUUAAUGUGAGAACUUUAUGAACUCAAUCACAUCUAGUUCCUCUACCAGGUUGUUUCGUGGCUAGAGAUAGAUUUUCAAGCGUUGACCAUUUACCUUAAAAGUGUUACCUAUGUCAUCUUGGAUGGUAAUGGCUCCAUGAGUUGAAGUGUCAAUAACCUUGUUUGGUCCAUCCCACUUACUUCGUAGCUUACCAUGCCCAAAGAGCUUAACUCUUGAAUUGAAUUGUAGAACCUUAUCUCCAGACUUAAACUCCUUGUGCUUGAUUCUCUUAUCAUGCCAUCGUUUUGUUCUCUCUUUAUAGAUCCUUCAAUUGUGGUAGGCUUUCUCUCUCCAUUCGUCUAGCUCAGAUAGUUGCAUCAGACGAUUCUCGCUAGCGAGGUGGAGAUCCAUGUUCCAUUUCUUGAGCGCCUAAUGAGCCUUAAACUCUACUUCCACAGGCAAAUGACAAGUUUUUCCAUAUACAAGUUGAUAAGGUGACAUGCCUAUGGGUGUUUUGAAUGCAGUUCUAUGUGCCCAAAGUGCAUCAGGAAGUUUGUCCUUCCACCCCUUACCCAUCUCAUCUACGGUCUUUUGUAAAAUAUUUUUGAUUUGUUUGUUAGAUGUUUCGGCUUGACCGCUAGUCUGAGGAUGGUAUGGUGUUGCGAUGUUGUGUUGAACUCCAUGAUCGGCUAGGUACUUCUGGAAGAUUUUGUCGAUGAAGUGGGAACCUCCAUCACUUAUAACUAUCCGGGGUAUACCAAAGCGAGGAAAGAUUACUUCAUGGAACAUUCUCUUGGCAUGUUUUGACUCAGCUGAUCGACAAGGUAGGGCUUCUACCCAUUUGGACACGUAGUCCACAGCUACUAAGAUAUACUCGCAAUUCCCAGACAUAGGGAAUGUUCCCAUGAAAUCAAUGCCCCAUACAUCGAAAAGUUCUACUUGAAGAUUAUUUGUGAGAGGCAUUUCAUUUCGUGAGUUGAUAUUCCCAUGUUUUUGACAUCGGUGGCAUAUCGUGACAAAGUCCUUUGUAUCUUCAUACAUCGUUGGCCAGAAAAAGCCACUUUGCCAAAUUUUAGCAUGUGUCCGGAAUGCUCCAUAGUGUCCUCCAUAUGGCGAGGCAUGGCUCAUCCCAAAGAUGGAAACGACUAUCGCGAAGUAACUUCCUUUUGUUUGCACCAGGUGGGACAUAGCCUUUUACUAUAAAGUUUACGAUGUCUGCGUACCAUGGAUCUGCAUGUGUUAUCUUAAGCAGGGUGUCAUCCCUUAGGUAGUCAUUUAUGGGAAGCUCAUCAUGUGUUUCCUUAUAUUGAAGCCUAGAUAAGUGGUCGGCUACGGAAUUCUCAACUCCCUUCCUAUCUCGGAUUUCUAUGUCAAAGUCUUGGAGUAGAAGAAUCCAUCGAAUUAGACGAGGCUUAGCAUCUUUCUUAGUGAGGAGGUACUUGAGAGCAGCAUGGUCUGAAUAGAUGAUUAUCUUUGCCCCCACUAAGUAAGAUCUAAACUUGUCUAUAGCAAAGACAACAGCCAAAAGCUCUUUUUCAGUUGUAGUGUAAUUGAGCUGUGGUCCAGACAAGGUUUUGCUAGCAUAGGAUAUGGCAUAAUGCUUUUUAUCCAUGGUUUGUCCUAAAACGGCACCAACCGCAAAAUCGCUAGCAUCACACAUGAUCUCAAAAGGAAGAUUCCAAUCAGGUGGUUGGAUAAUCGGGGCUGAGAUGAGUGCUUUCUUAAGAGUUUGAAAAGAUUCAUGACACUCAUCACUAAAGAUGACAGGUGCAUCCUUAGCUAGGAGACUAGUUAGGGGUCUAGCAAUUUGAGAGAAGUUCUUGAUAAAGCGUCUAUAGAACCCUGCAUGUCCCAAAAAGCUACGGAUGCCUUUCACAUUCGUGGGAGGUGGAAGUUUUUCAAUAACUUCAAUCUUUGCUUUGUCCACCUCUAUACCAUGUUCGGACACUUUAUGUCCUAGCACUAUUCCUUCCUGAACCAUAAAAUGGCAUUUCUCCCAGUUCAGGAUCAAGUGCUUUUCUUCACAUCGCUGCAAGACUCUAUCUAAAUUCUCCAAACAAUGAUCGAAGGUUUUUCCAUAGACGGUAAAAUCAUCCAUGAAAACCUCCAUGAUUUUCUCAAUCAUGUCCGAGAAAAUAGACAUCAUGUACCGUUGGAAAGAAACUGGAGCAUUGCACAGUCCGAACGACAUUCGUCGGUAUGCAUAAGUUCCAUACGGGCAUGUAAAGGUAGUCUUUUCUUGGUCAUCUGGGUGGAUUGGGAUUUGGUGAUAUCCAGAAUAACCAUCAAGGAAACAAAAGAAAGAGUGGUUUGCAAGCCGUUCCAACAUUUCAUCAAUGAAGUGUAAUGAAAAGUGAUAUUUCUUUGUAGCCUUGUUGAGUUUUCGAUAGUCAAUACACAUACGCCACCCAGUGACAAUUCAUUGAGGGAUGAGUUCAUUCUUCUCAUUCCUAACGACCGUCAUUCCUCCUUUCUUUGGCACUACUUGGACAAGGCUAACCCACUCACUAUGUGGCACAGGAUAAAUAAUCCUAGCAUGAUAGAGUUUGAGGACCUCUUUCUUAACAACCUCUCGCAUAGCAUUGUUAAGUCUCCGCUGUGGUUCCCUUGAAGGUGUAAAAUUGGGAUCAAUAGGGAUACGAUGAGUGCAGAGAAUGGCACUAAUGCCCGUGAGAUCUUCGAGAGAGUAGCCAAAUGCUGAUCUAUGCCUUUCAAGAACAGUGACAAGUUGUUGUGUUUCAUAAUCAGAAAGCUUGUCACUGAUAAUUACUGGAGUUUUUGGGUUGUUGUGCAAAAAGACAUAUCUAAGGCUAGAAGGAAGAGUUUUUAACUCUAUUCAAGGAGGUGAAGGUUGUUCAUUUUUGUCUAGCUCAAUGGGUUCUACCAACUCCUCUUCUUCUUGAACAAAGUGUUCAUGACUAAAGAAUGGUUGGGCCAUCUCCGCUUGAGUCAGCAUUAAGAUCUCCUCAUCAUAAAUGCCUGUGUAAGGGGUAUUUUCAAAGAUUCUUUCUAGGAUAGCUCUCCCCUCAUCUAUGAGUUUGUGUGUGAAUGAGCCUCCUGAAGCAAUGUCGAGGUGAAGAGCACCUUCCUUGUUUAGACCAUGAUAAAAGUGGUAGUACAGUACAUGGUCAGGCAGGGAAAGGUUUGGACCGGAAUUGGUAAGGCUUGUGAACCUAGCCCAAGCUGCUUCUAAAGAUUCCUUCUCUCUUUGUUUGAAUGUAAGAAUUUUGAUUCUAAGGUCAGCGAUUCGAAAAAGUGGGAACAAAGCGAGACAAAAGUUGUCCCGAAGUUCAUCCCAAUUUCCAUUAACGCCUCCUACAGAACGAGCAGACCACUUUUUUGCUCUUCCCAAAAGGGAGAACGGAAAUAAUUUCCAUUUAAGGGUUUCUUGUGUCAUGCCGAUAAUAGAUCGGCAAGAGCACAACUACUCGAAUUCUCUAAGGUGGGUGUAUGGAUCUUCAUCUACUUGCCCAGAGAAGGGUUGCUCCUAAAUCAUGGCUAUUAGAUCAGGGCCGAGGUUGUAGCCAUCUGUAAGAAUUGGAUGUGAUGAUGGUGGUGGCUCUAAUAACUCGCCCUUUGGAGCAAAGAAUUUAUAGAUAGGAGUGAAGUCCAUGUGGUGUGGUGAAAAUGGUAAGGUGAGUGUGGUAAAAAAGGAAAAGAAAAAGGAUACACGGACGACUUGGUUCGAAACUAGCACAGCUACUAUUCCCCGGCAACGGCGCCAGAAAGCUUGUUGGGUAUUUUAAACGCAAAUAGAAAAAAUCCGCAAGCGCACGGAUACCGAUGUAGCUUUCACCCGGGAGUAUUCUAGAGUAUCGAUUUUCCACAGGGAACGUGAGUGUCCUAAUUAAGAUUCAAGAUCGCCCAAGGAUAACUAUAUAAUUAUUUUUGGUGGGAAGAGAGGAAGUUUCCUGAGAGUUCUCUAGUUGAUCUAAGAAUUAAGAUUUACUUCAAAGAUUAUUUAUUUCGGGACAUCAGAACACUAACCACAGAAAGAACUGAGAAGGGGGCUAGGAAGCUCCAACUACGGUCCUACAAACACCGAUCCGAACGAGGUGGAAUACGUCGACCGUUAGGGCUGUCACUACCCUAGGGCUACCACAACAAUCCGUAGGAUUGGGUGCAAUUACAGGUAAUUGCAAGACUAAACACCACGUCUAAUUUAUUAAUUACUACUCUAAUGUUGCAAAGAUUAGAGCACUUGAUGCAAGCAGGAAUCCAAUAAAUAACUUGAAUGUAAAUAAAAGUAAUUAAAGAACUCAGGAAUUAUGAAUUGAAGAACCUAGAGAACGAUGAAGAACGAACCAGUUGCUGCAAAAGUACAAUGUUGAGGAAGAUCCGACAGAUCCGGCUCCUCCUCGUCCGCCCUCCUCUUCUCUCUCCCUAUUUUCUAGAUUACAACUAGAACGAACUAGAACUAGAACUAGAGGAACUAGAACUAGAAGAACUAGAACUAGAGGAACUAGAACUAGAACUAGAUGAACUAGAGGGAUCCUCUCUACUUAGAUGAAGAAUUGAAACCCUAACUUUGAUUCUGUAGAAGAGGUAUGAUCUCCAGGGGCCAGGCGGUCUUGUUUUAUAGUCCCCUCAAGUGAAUAUGGGCCGUUGGAUCAAACCAACAUUGAUUGAACGGUUAUCCUUGAUCCUUUAGGUCGGUGGAGAUUUAUCCCGAAAGAGAGUCCUGUUUGGACUCUAGGAGGGUCGGGCGCCUAGGUCAGCUGGGCGGGCGCCCAUUGCCUGGCCCCGUUCGGCCUCCGCUUCCUUCCCGUGGCUUCUGGAGUCUUCCAAAUGGUAGAAAAUUGUGCGGCACGUUAAUAUUUCUAUGUAAUCCCGACAUGUGGGCCUUUCUUCCAUAUUUCCUAAUAACCCCCUGCAGAAAUAGACAAACACCAAAACUCGUGGAAUUCUAUCGGAUAAAACCCUAAGUCUAGGUGUUGGUUGCAUUUGGAUCCUUUUCCAUGAUUAGUUGAUGGUUAAAUGUGAGCAUUAAGGACCGUCAACACCACUCCUGUUAAUACUGAAUGAUUUUAAGCAUUGCUGCUUGUAGUGCUCCUUGGCUUUUGUAAUAGCUUGCUUCUGCUCAUCUCUGAGAUUGGCUUCCGUCACGGGGAUGACGUUCUCCAAGUCGAACUCAGUAUUCGCCAUGUUGGUCCCACUGGGCGUGCUAAAAGAUGUGUUAAGGCGUGCCAGCCGAUUUGACCUUACAAUCGACAAAGGUGGUAACUCGACCACUUUGGUCCCAACAACAGCGAUGCGCCCGGAUGUCACUGCCAAGAGGUGAUCACGCGGAACUUGAGAACGCGCUGAUUUUGACUCGACAAAUUCCGAAGAACUCAUAGUAAAAAGAAAAUAUGAUGAAGUCGUCGAAAAAAAUAGAUGCUGGAAUAUGAGUAAAAACUUGUGUUUGAUUGAUUGAUAGAUUGUCUCAUUACAUUGCUCUAGGGUCUACAUUUAUACCCUGUCCAAAGAGCUACAACCAGACAUGACUAAGACUCGAAUUCCAAACUAAACGGAACCCGUACACAAAACGAAUUCUAAUAGCUAAGGAAAACAUAAAACUAAUCCCUUGUAGCCGACCAGGGCACCGACACAGAUCAAUCGGCAACCUCCAUGCUUUUCUCCAGAGCCAUCGGCAGACCUCCUGUUUUGGCCAUCGGCAAACAUUGAUACUGGUCAUCGGCACGAACACGUCACCACCUCUGGACUUGGUCACAUUCAGUUGUUUUCCUUAUCGGCAACCACCUUCAUCGGGAACUUCCCUGUAGACUAGUUAUUGUUGCUUUAUCUGCCGAUCUAUACUUUACUAACCCCAUGUACGCGUUAGAAGAUACGUAUCCAAAAACGGUGUCAAUAGGUUUCUCUUUUGCACAGGUUGUUUCGAGACGUUGCCAUAAUCAGCGAAAAGAUCCGUCUCGAUGUUAAGAGGAUACUCUAAGGGAUGAAUCACUUCUUCCCUUGGAGGUGUUUGGGAUUGUGGUUUAGGCUCGACAGCUUGUGAUGUUGCUACUAUAGCGUCGGCUGAUGAGGUUUCAUCCCUAAGGGCUUGGUCUUCCUCAGGGGCAUCACUAUGGUCAUCAGUGUAGGGGGUGUUAUCUAGUAUGGUUGCUAGGACCACCCUACCUUCACUAAUGGGUAAAUGAAGGAAUGUUCCCUUUGAGGCUAGAUCCAGGAAUUGUGCGGAACUUUGCUUAAGACUGAGAUAGAAAUGCUGCAUUAGCGUUGGCUCAGUUAUGGCUAAGUCUGGGCCUAAGGAUGCAAAGUCUGUGAUUCGCGCCCAAGCCGCACCUAGAGAUUCCUUCUCUUCUUGCUUGAAGUUUAGGAUCUCUCUACGGAGACGUGCCACACGGGAAAUGGGGAAGUAGGUAAGGCAAAACUUGGCUUGUAGCUUCUCCCAUUCUCCAUCAACACUACCUACAUAGCGAGAGUACCACCAUCUGGCUUUUCUCCUCAAAGAGAACGGGAAGAGCUUCCACUUAAGGGUAACGCGCCUCAUCCCUUGGAUGUGAAUGCACGAGCAAAGCUACUCGAAAUCACGUAGGUGGGUAUAGGGAUUUUCAUCUCCUUCUCCUAAAAAGGGAUUCUCCUAAACCAUCGCUAUGAGACUUAGGCGAAGCUCAUAACGAAUGGACAAAUUGGCCUAAGGAGAACUAGGCGGCUCCAGCUCAGCACCCGAUGGAGUAGCAUAGUCAAAGAGGGUUGUUUGAAACAAGGGAUAGGUAAAGGUUCUAAUCAAACAAAGAUAACUUGAUGACUUUGAGUCUAGUUGACCAGCUACCAUUUCCUAGCAAUGGCGCCAGAAAUCCUUGUUGACUCUUCUUAGCGUCACUACCUAGGAUUGUCAGUCCUUGGCAUAGCACUUGAAAUGCUUGUGUGGUACUAGAAGUGGCAAACGGUUUUAUCGCAAGCGGACGGUGGUCAACAUAGCACUUCACUAGGAGUAUUCCAGGUAUCGUAUUUUCCAUGGGGAACGAGAAGUGGAAUAACUAGACAAAUUGAGUCGUCGGAUGAUGAUCAAAGGGCUUAGGAUUGGGUGGAGAGGUACUUUUAGUAUUUGACUUCUGGCUAAGCUAUCCUAAGUAUACUUUGAUCAGUAGUUGGCCAACAGCUAGUUGGCGAGCUAGUGCCAAUGGAUUGUAAAACUCAUAAGUGGGACUAGAGUUUUUCCCACUACCAAAGGUGUUUACUGGGAUGGCCCUCGGAGUGGUAAUUGCCAUCAUCAAGUCAUUAUCCUUAUUGAGAGCAUCAUCGAAGGGGUGGAAGAUGAGUGGGAAUCUGGUUCCUAGAUCUUCGUAAGGCAUCCAUGCUCGCUGUUCUUUGGCAAGGCCGUCAUAUAAGGCUUGGAAGAAUCGGCCGAUUUGGUUUUCGUUGCAGCUGGUACCGGGCAGAACUAUAGCAGCCUCGCCAUAAUUGAUGGGCGGGUGAGUUGCCGAUUCAUCAUCUGCUAGUUCAUAAUCUUCGACAAUAUCUUCGGGGAAUCGCUGUGCAAAGAGAUCGAACUGAAGGCGUUUGAGCAUACGAACAUUGAGCCACAUGUUGAUGAACCACCAGGGGCCUCCUAGGUUGUCGAUGGGUUCCCCUAACAGAAGCUUCUCAGUCACUUGGUGGAGGUGGUAAUAGGCAGAACCGAGCAAGUAUCGACCAAGAGGAAAUCGGCCGCCAUUGGCUAACCUUUCUGCAGCCGAUAAGUAGACAGAGGUUGGUCCUACCGAUCGGCCACAGAAGACGAACUUGUCUAGCCACAUGUUCAGGAAAGUGGCAUGUUCUAUUUGCCCGAGUGGUCCUGUCUUCUGGUACUUCUGGAUAUAUCCUGACCAACCACCGAUGUUGUGGGUUUCUACUUUGCGCUCGUGUUUACGGUCAUAUAAAUGGCUAUCAUUGGCAGAUGCGAUAUCUAAGCCAGUGAGCAUGAGCACAUCGACAAGAGUGGGGGAAGCAGGGCCAUGACCAAACAGAAAAGCAUUGAGAGUAUUUGACUAGAAGUAUGAAGCAACUAUUAAAAGUGAUUCAUUCCUAUUUUAUCGGCAAUGGAUAGCCUGAUACACUGAUCUAGUUUGCGUUCACCCUAGUGUACUUCGUUCGAAUUGCUGACUCUCAGGAAUCCUUCCAUCCCUUAGUGGAACUGUGCCAGGAUCGGAAGGUAUCUUUCUAUAGAUCUAAGGAAAAGUUCUCAGUCCUAAAAGGGAUCCUAUUUUUUUCUGCGUUGAUCACAUCGGUAGCAUCUGGAUUUCCCAACGGACCAAGGCAUUGAAGGUGAGGUUGUUCGGUAGGAAUAACAAUUUUCUCGGCCAAUUCCUAACGGUUUGAAGGUUGGAAGAACAGAAAAAGGAAGAAGAAAGAAAGUGCUAAGUAAAUAGAUUUGCAGAAGAAAAAAAUACGACAAAGAGAGAAUGGGAGAAAAUUGACCUCAGGGACGAUGAAGUUGACGGCCGUUUCUUGUCGGAGAGGAAGAAGAUAGACAAUUUGAAGAACUGCUGGGAAAGACUCACGCUGGAGUUCUUGGGCUUUUCGAACGACGCCGCUGCCAGCAAGAUUGGUUUGAGGAUUGUUGACGGUCCUUGAGUACUAAAUUUAACCAUCAACUAAACAUGGAAAAGGAUCAAUAUGCACCAAACAUUUAGAAUUAGGAUUUUAUCUUACAGAAUUCCACGAGCUUUGGUGUUUAUCUAUUUCUGCAGGGGGUUAUGAGAAAAUGUGGAGAGAAGGCCCACAUGUCAUGUUUACAAUGAGAUAAUUACGUACCCCGCAAUUUUCCUUAAUCUAGAAGAGUCCAGAAGCCACAGGAAUGAACGGGAGACCGGACGGGCUCAGGGGCAGGGCGCCCGCCCUGGCCUCGGGGCCAAUCAGAACCAAACUCUUGGAUCGUGCUCCGCAAACCUAAAGGAUCAAGGAAAACCGUGCGAUCAAUGUCGGUUUGAUCCGACGGCCCAAAUUCACUUGAAAGGACUAUAUAAUCAAGGCCUCUCCACCCUAGGGGGAGAGAGGAGAAAUCAUUAUCAGAGGUAGCCAUUAAAGUUAGGGUUUAGAACUUCUCUCCCAUAGAGAAUUAGAAUUAGCUACUCCCUAAUCCUUCAAGUUUAGAGGAUUGAUUAGAUAGGAAUUAGAGAAGUAGAGCACUACGCUUUGGAUUCAGAUCUUCGUUAAUAAAGAAUUGUAUUAUUUCAUAUAUUUCUCUAAUACUUUGUUCUAAUUGCAUUAUGUCUCUAUUUAUUAUGCUCUUAGUUUGCUCUAGUUCUAUAUUUGAUAUAGUUAUGAUUGAUAAUGAGUUUAUGUAUAAGUUUGCAAAGCGCUUAGCUCUUGACACGUGGGAGUUAAGUGGUAGAUCACAUGUGGGCGUGGUGCUUAGAUGUUAUUUACCUGCAAAUGUAUCCUAUUGGCCGGGUUGUGUGGUAGUUCGCGAUAGUGACAGCUUCGUUGAUUCUUAUAUAGUCCACCCUCCGUUGAUAGGACAGGCAGAAUUUGUAUUGCGGAGUAAGUCUUGCAAUGCUCUGAUUUACUUUAGCAAUGUUCCUUAUAUAUGAAUAAAGAGUCUUUUAUACUAUAUAUGAUCUUGUAGAUAACUAGAGUAGAUUGUGACUUAGUAGAUAGUAGAUAACUUAGAAUCCAUUCUCUAGCUAAUCCGACAUCACCUUACAUAUAUGAGGAGUAGUCUAUUUUCUAAUCGCUGUGUUAUUUACCCAUGAGCUUAUAUUUCAUUAUCAUUAUUAUUAUGGCUUACCCCCUGUCAAAGUAAGUGACUGUGUGACGAGUUUCUCAUUAGUAAUUAUGUUCUUGCAAGUUUAUCUCUAGUCUAUGCCUUGAUAGAUUUUAUCCUUAUCUUAAUUUCAUCCUCUUUCUCCUGAGCAAAAUUAUAAAUAACGAUACAUAGAAUACUUUCCUAGUGAAAUGCUACAAUGAGGUAUUUUAUUUGUGCGCUUGCGGAUAGAAUAGAUUAUUUUCUAGAGAGCCUCCUUAUUCAUAAAUACCUUUGUACACUCUGGCACCAUGCUGGGGAUGACAACCUAGUAUUCAAGUGGUGUUAGCUAGUGUAAACAAGCAUUUCAGGCGCCGUUGCCGGGGAAGCAAAAAGGGGAAUCAUAAGGGAAACACAUAGGAACGGUAAGGAAAGUCAGGAAAUCAUUCAAGGUUAUUCAUAUAAAAUAUUAGACUAGACUAUAGAGAAAUAAUUGCAUAAAACAGCUACUAAUUGAGAAAUCAUAACAAGGCACCUCUGCUUUGGCAGGUUCACCCUGUUGUUUUUCUAUGUUUAUAUUUUUAUACAGGGUAUAUCAGGAUUGACUUUGGGUACAUUCAACUCUUCAUCAUCAGAACCAAAGCAAUCAAGAAAGAAAGAAGAAGCCAGCUACCAAUUGCUGAAGCUAUGGCACAAAACACCUUGCAAGAAUUCUCUGCUCCAAGUCUUGAGAACAUUCCAACUGGUCCAAGAUUUGCAGUAGAAGGAGCGCCCGAGUUCGAGCUCAAGUCAAGCCUCAUCAAUUUGGUACAAGCUACACAAUUCAGUGGAAAGGUACAUGAAGAUGCUAGUGCACACUUGCAGAAUUUCUUAGAGAUUGGAAGCACAAUCCACAUCAACGGAGUCGACAAAGACGUCAUACUGCUUCGCCUUUUUCCAUUCUCACUAGAAGGGAAAGCGAGGAAGUGGUUCUACACUCAUCAAGAUAACAUCAACAACUGGACGAACUUGUCAGAUGCCUCUCUAUCAAAGUUUUUCCCUAUAGGCAAGACAAUUGCCUUAAGAGGAAAUAUUGUCAGUUUCCAACAGCAGAAGAUGUCACAGAACCGACCAAAUUAUAAGAGUUCAAGUGUAGAAACGAUCGACAAGCAAUCAAGUUUCCAAACUUGAGCCCAUAUAAUCCCGAUAGUCAACUGAAAUCACGAAGGACUUCAAACCAACUUGCAACAAACCAAGAUCGUAAUAGUUCAACACAACACAGCGAAUGUUACAUAGUCAUUCAUUGCCGGUGAAGCGGCACCACAUCAGAGUUAUUAAGUUAUUACAACACAUGUUCGAAGUAGCGGAAGCAAAAUAAUUACACACACUUUUCAAAGUUCAAUUCACAAGUUCUUGUUAUAGCCAGAGUCAUACACCGUCCAUCCAAAAGCAGUAGGUACGAGUUGGUUAGAGAACCGUGCCCAACGGUUUAGUCCUCAUCCCCAGCGGGAUGGAGACAGGUCUUGCAGAAGCCAUCAUAAAAGAUAUCAUCUCCAACAGGUGGGAAAUAAACCCUGAGUACGAGAUUGUACUUAGCUAGACUUACCUGUCUAGUAAAACAUAAAAGACACCAAGGAUCAUGCAAUGCUAAUACCAAGUGGAGCUGGUUGAUUCAACAUUUGCCAAAAGCUUAAUUUAACUACAAUGUUGUGAGAGCCUCAUAUUUAAUCAUCAUCAGCCUACCACUAGAUUAGCACCUGUACUAAAGCACUUCACUUGAUUAUUACAAGCAAUAAUGACCAUAUCAAAUUCAUCAUAUGUUCUUCCUUGCUAUCAUCAUUAUCAUGAACCAAAGUUCUUUAGUGAAUGAUACGUUUGUCGCUGCUCUGUCAAGUUCUCACUAACCGGGAGAGACGGCGAUUCAAAUCGAAUUCCUAUCCAGCUGGAGUGGUAUUCCUAGCACUCACCCAAGCAUCCCCCGUCGGAGAGCCAAUGGGUCACCUUUGGUACGACUCAGGAAUCGCGGUUCCGAUCAGCGCCGCACUCCCAGUGCUACCACUCUGCCAGGGAAGUCAGGAAUUUUAACUCACCUACCUUUGGACUUACGCCAAUGGUCCCCCGCACACCGCACUUCCUCCGGUAGUGCGCACUUUAUACUUACCAGCCUUCCAGCCUGAGUCAUAUUACUCGGCUUCGCGGUCGGAACGAGUUAUCCGGCCAACUAAGUGUCAGGCAUGCGUUCAACAUGACAAGAGGACGUACAACGGUCGGUCCUUAGCUGCCAUAGACGGAGUUACUACAACCUUGCAAAACUCUGCCCGGCUUAAGUCCAUUUAAUCAGGUUCCAUCCACGAUAGCACAUAUAGUCCAUCGUGAUCCGACAUAACCCUAUAUCGCGCAGGUGAUAGGAAAUCACCCGACUUCUACCGAUUAAAGCAUGGCUGAGCUGCUACUCGAUCCUAACUCUAUAACCAGGUGGGUUAAGAUAUCUGGACAAGGAUUGAGUAAAAUGCAGCAAAGGUUUCAUCCCAACUCCUAUACUUAAUGCAUCAAUAGAUAUAACAUAUUCAAGUAAACUUUCGAAAGUAAAGGGAGACUUAUAAUGCUCCGGGGCUUGCCUUUCACGAACGAAGCUGGCUCGUGGUUAGGGCACUCAACCUCUUCUUCGGGCUCCUCCAGUCCGGCUUGCUGGACCUCCACCUCCGGGUCGCCCUCCUGGCCUUCGGGAUUCACUUAAUGUUCGAAGGAGGCUGUCACGUCCGAUGCACCUAUUGCAUGCUCGAUGAAUGAGAAAGUGUGCAUACAAAAAGAUGGAUGCUUAAAGACAUAAUAGACUCACUGGACACUCAUUUACGGAGUAACGGUUAUAACAAGUUCACAUAAUAUGGCAAGUUAACUUAGCCAACACCUACCAAGUUAAACUAUAACAGAAAACAUCAUAUAACAGAACAGCUCAGUAAACAGGUCAUAACUAUUGCUACAAAGAUCCAACAAACCUAAGUGAGGACAUUCUGGAAAGCUUAUGAAAUUGUUUACGAUUCAUCUUUAGACAUCACAGCAAGAUUCAUAAGUUAAACAAGCCUUAUAACCAAAGUUCCAGGUUCUGUCCCAGAAAAACAGAAAGCACCUAUUUCUGGAACCCAACUUGGAACAGCCAUAACUUUCAAACUAUUUAACCAAAGGAUCCCAAAUUUAAACCACAACUAUUUCAUAAAGUUUACAACAACUUUGAUUUAGACAAGUUUCCCACAAAACCCAGUUAUCAUUGUGCAAAAGUUAAAUUACUCCCUUGCUGUCCAGAACAGCUUUUAACCCACCAAUUAAUUAUUUGAUGACAUAACCAAAACAUAAACAGUGUCAACCACAUGGCUUAUCAGCACAAACACAUCACAAGACAACCAGAACAUCAUAUGAUAACCCCCAAACACUUAAUAAUAAGACAUUUAUUUAUUUAAUUCUAUAAAGGAGCAUAAUUACAAGAUACUAGUAAACGUGCUCAGAAAAAUCUACAAAAAUUACAGAAGCACAAGCACAGCAUUGUGACAUCACCAUAAAAAUUUUAGAGCAAUUGCACAUGCCAAACUCAAGAUAAGCAUUUAACAUGUGACAAGGUGUUUAUUUCAUAAAUUCAGAAACAUGGCUUAUAUGGUGUCAAACAACAGAUUUCAGAUUAUUUACAGGUUACCAAUACCAUAAAGAAGUUUAUCCCCAAAGUAGAGCAUCAGCAUAAGCAUGAAUUAUUUACUAUGAUUUAAUUAAGAAAACAAGCCAUAUCUCAAUCAUAAAUUACCUAUCCCAGAUAUAUCAUUACAAAAAUCAUGAAAUAUUUAACUUAGCAUUCUAGUACCACACAGAGACUACCAUAAAAAUUUCAUAGCAAAAGGAGCAGUAAAACAUAAGAUAUGAAUUUACCCAUGAAAACCAAGAUUAAACACUAAUAAAUAUUUUUCCCAAAAAACAUGGUUCAUUUUAUAUUUUUAUUAAAAACUAGCCGUUCCAAAUAAUCACACAAAAUUGGUUUCAUAAUUUUUAGAUCUCAGAAACUGGAGAUAUGAUUUUUGCAAUAAAGCCAAAAAUCUAGAUUUGAAUAAAAGAAAAGGAGGGAAGUGAGGUGACACUGACAGCGGGCCCUGCAUGUCAGGGUCGUCUUCCUCACAGCCGAGGCGACUCUCACUGGCGAUUUCUCCGUGACGGCGAGGUCUCCGGCCAAACCAAGGGCACCAUCGUGACCGCUAGACACUUGCGACUCGAUGGACCCCCUUUUCCCCACGGCGGAGCCACCGGAAAUGGCUCGCCGUCGAUCAUGGCGGCUCGACGGAGGUGCUCGGCGUUACACCGGAGCCUUCAGGCCGGUAGAGCAUGACCUAGGGUUUCCUACAGCACCAGCGGACUACGGCGAAGCUUCCUAGGUAGGCGGCUUGGCCUGAGACGGCGUGGAACGCGCUGGCCACGAGAGACCCCAUCUCUGGCGGAAACACGGCGGCGCUGCGCGUCGUGUCCGGCGACGGUGAGCGCGGUAGAGCGUCCACCAAGUGGCGCAAAUGCUCGCUAAGAACCUAAGCUACCUCUAGGACCUAACCAGAGAGGACGAGAGGCUCCGAGGAGCUCGGCAUUGAGAUCGCCGGAGAAGAAGGUCACGACGACCCGAUUUGGGGAAAGUUGGGAAUGUCGGCUCACCAGAGGGUUUCACGGCGAGUUAGCGGGUGGAGAGUGGAGAGCGGUUCAGGGCGGAGCUGUGGGCGAAGUUUGGUGGUCAGCAGUGCAGCGAGGAGCACGUACGAGCUCGCCGGAGUGAGCUCGCGACGGUGAGCUCGCUGCGGCCGUGUUUCUAGCGAGAGAGGGCGAGGCAGAGAGAAAUGGACGCGUCCACUUCGCUCGGGACAUCGCCGUGGAGGACAUGCACACGCUGGGAGCUGACAAGUGGGGCCAAGAACGACGUACGGAAGACAAAUGUCACCGUUGCUCUGCCACCGGUCGGCCACGUCGGCGGGCUCGAUUCUAAUUCAGACAAAACGAUGGCCGACUGACAGUACUACUUCGACAACGAUUAACUCCCCAACCAGAGCGAGUUAGGAGAUGAUGUAGUUAACAAAGUAGGAGUACUAGCUGAGUUCUACAACUUUGUCAACUGGAGCAAAAGCUAGAUUGGCCUGGUUUGAAAGAUAUGAAGUUUUCAAAAUUGUUCGAGCAAAAUGUUAAAGCCAGGACUUAGCCAAAUUCGGCUAAGUGCCAAAACAGCACCCAAAUCUGCCUUGUGGGUCACUUUUGAGCUAUUUGUGUUCAUUUUCAUGAGAUGGCCAUGAAACAACUUUUGUUCCUUAUAAAAUUUGCUACAACUUUUCUGUAGAAAGUUUUGACAUGCAAACAUUUUAUGGAACACUUUUUAAAAUCCUAAGCAAAAGUGGUUUCUAGGGCCUAUUUGUGUAAGUAUGACUUAAGUGAUUAUUUUAGAGAGAUGAUCAACGUGAACAUUGUUCCUUAUGUUGAGUUAAGCAUAGAUAAACUAAUUACCAAGGCAUAGAGCACAAACACAAGCAUGGUACACUCCAACACAAGCCUAGGAAGCCUAUUUAAACAACUUAAAUCACAUUUUUGCUAAACAUGGCAUGGCUCAAGGUAGAUGAUGAGCAUGAUAUGCUUGAGUAGAUGAUGAUGCUCAUGUUAUGCAUGUGAUUCAUGCAACCAUAACACUGGGGUGUUACAGCCCUCCCCCCUUACAAAAAUCUUGUCCCGAGAUUUGGAAGCUUACUGGUUUUCGAAGAAUGUUUUGUAAACUUCUUUCAAAUAAUCCUCGGUUUCCCAAGUGGCAUCGUCCUCCCCGUGGUUACUCCACAACACCUUGUAGAAUUUAACCACCCGAUUACGAGCCACCCUUUCCUUGCGGUCAAGAACUGCUAUAGGUUUUUCUUCAUACACCAAGUCAGAUUUCAACUUGAUAUCCCGAACUUCCACUCGUUCCUCCGGAACACGAAGGCACUUCUUUAAUUGUGAUACGUGGAAGACAGGGAAAAUAGCUCGAAGCUCAACUGGUAGUUGAACUUUGUACACCACGUCCCCUUUCCUUUCAAGAAUCUGAUAGGGUCCCACAUAACGAGGUGCAAGCUUUCGCUUGACUCCGAACCUUUUUACCCCCUUCAUCGGAGACACCUUGAUAUACACAUGGUCACCGACCGCAAACUCAAUCGGCUUCCUUCUUUUGUCAGCAUAACUUUUCUGACGAGCUUGAGCAGCUUCCAGAUGUUGCUGGAUGGUACGGACUUGCUGCUCUGCUUCGUUCACGAAAUUGAUGCCAUAAUACCUUCGUUCCCCGGAUUCCACCCAAUUCAACGGGGUUCGACAGUUCCGACCAUACAGGGCUUCAAAUGGAGCCAUCUUGAUACUCUCCUGAUAACUAUUGUUAUAAGAGAACUCAGCUAAUGGCAACCACUUAACCCAAAAACCUUUUGAAGAGAGAGCACAUGCCCUCAACAUGUCUUCUAGGAUUUGGUUGACCCGUUCAGUUUGACCUGCCGUUUGGGGAUGAUAAGCAGAACUACGGACCAAGUGAGUGCCAAUCUGCUCAUGAAGACACUCCCAUAAAUGGGCAGUGAACUGUGGUCCACGAUCUGAUAUGAUAGUUCGAGGCACACCUAACCCGAACCUUGGCCUCUAUGUUGUUCAAAGUUUUUUGAUUGAGAUUGCAGUGACACCGGUAAACCAGAGAGCUCCACAACGAGUGGCAUCUGAAAGGUUGACCACCCAUCGAGAACGCACCUGGUAUGGAGCUGAUCCCGGGCCAGAAGAAGCAGUGCACCUGCAUUAUUGCGACUACAACCCCCGAGUCCUUCGGGACCCAUGGGUUCGACAUGCUCAACCACAAGAGCCAACACAGGAGACAUGGCCGGAGAGUCAAGAUCACCAGUGGACAAACCCGCCUUUCCGUACGGGCAGGUACUCCACUGAUCCAUAUGGAGUUUCAGGGUCCAGACCUCCGCCCCAAUUCAAUGCAGGACGAUACUCCGACGCCUCUUAUGCUUUCACGAACGACUACUACCAAGAGGCCGACGCUUUCUUCACCCGUACCAACAACACUCUCCUCGACAUCCAGAAUACGCAAGCAGAACAUGGAAGACUCCUGGAACAGCAAUAAAAAAUGGAACCAGGACCACGCCGCUGCAGUACAAGAACUGAGACAAGACACCAAGACGAUGAACGACAACAUCACCACCAUGAUGCGAUUCUGGAACAUUGGGUAAGACCGACAAUCACAUCCAGCUUGGGGGAGUUCCUCUCCGUUUUAUCAAGUAAGUUUUUAUUUGCUCUUCUUAUUUAUUCUUUUUUGUUUUAGUGUUUUAUUUAUCUUAAGGAAAAAAACUUAGAAAACCAAAUAAAUAUUUUCUUGCUUUAAUUUACUGCAUUCUAUAAACAUGAAAACAAAAUAAAAAGAGUGUGUAGAUAAGUGUGCUUUAUUUUUCGGCUAAGUUUAAUCUCUAGAAAAUAAAAAGACCAGAAAAAUACAUGACGGAAAUGAUGAACAGUUGCUCUGUUUGCUUACUUUCAAGUACCUAGCUUUUAUAUUAGAGUUCUUCUAGGAAUUAUUAAAAUUGAAAUUUACUAACUAUGGGAAGCAUGAACCUAAAACUAAAGUCUCAGUAAGAGAAAGGCAUGAUAUAAAGUUCGAGCUACUGUUUAUCUUGUUCUUACAACACUAAGUUCUGGAGAUUUAUUUUGAAAACGUGCGAAUCACAUGAUGAGUUCCUAACAUUACAAACUUCCUACCACAGCUAUACUUGCUAUAACAUCUUUUGCUGUAAAUAUUCCAUCUUUUGCUACUUAUAUAAUUAAACCAAGAUGUGCAUGUGUGGUGGAGUAAAUGAUAGUGAUGUAUAAGUGAUGAUAAAAUUUACUUCUCAUUGCUCCUCAGAUUGGUAUAAUUUAGUUAAUGGAAUAUAUAGAUGGAAGAGUAUGAUCACUUAUAGAUUAAUAUUGUUUAUUAUGGAAAAAAUGUAGGUUUUGGUUUAAUUAUAUGCUGAGUUCCUUUGGAUCCAUGGCUCGAUUAGACAACAUAUGUAUGAGCUGUUUUUCACUCCUAUGAGCUCCACUUAAAUAUUCCAUUAGCUAUAGGUAAGUGACAUUUUGUUAAGGAUCCACAAAUACCACAUAUAGAGAGAUUUGAGAGAAUCAUAGCUAGGAACUCUGAGUUUUAUUUUGAAAACUUAUGCAAAACUCCGGAACAAAGGUGAAGUAUGGACAGGAGGAAUAGUGCUUGACUUAAUUAUUUUGCCUUUCGAUUACUUAAGACUCAACUGCAGGUACUAAGCUUCAUGACACUUCACUCUAAUCUAGAAGAAUUUUAUAUGGAAGCAUGUGUGCCUGUUAGGAAAGAAAAUAUCGAAGCAACUCCUGAUCCGUCUGAGUUUAGCUGUUUGCUUAGGGACGAGCAAAGGGUAAGCUUGGGGGCUUUUGUUGACGGUCCUUAAGUACUAAAUUUUAACCAUCAACUAAACAUGGAAAAGGAUCAAUAUGCACCAAACAUUUAGAAUUAGGGUUUUAUCUGACAGAAUUCCACGAGCUUUGGUGUUUAUCUAUUUCUGCAGGGGGUUAUCAAAAAAUGUGGAGAGAAGGCCCACAUGUCAUGUUUACAACGAGAUAAUUACGUACCGCGCAAUUUUCCUUAAUCUAGAAGAGUCUAGAAGCCACGGGAACGAAUGGGAGACCGGACGGCCUCGGGGGCAGGGCGCCCACCCUCCCCCCUUGGGCGCCCUCCCUGGCCUCGGGGCCAAUCAGAACCAAACUCUUGGAUCGUGCUCCACCGACCUAAUGGAUCAAGAAAAACCGUGCGAUCAAUGUCGGUUUGAUCCGACGGCCCAAAUUCAAUUGAAAGGACUAUAUAAUCAAGGCCUCUCCACCCCAGGGGGAGAGAAGAGAAAUCAUUAUCAGAGGUAGCCAUCAAAGUUAGUGUUGGGUAUUUUAAACGCAAACAGAAAAAAUCCGCAGGGAACGUGAGUGUCCUAAUUAAGAUUCAAGAUCACCCAAGAAUAACUAUAUAAUUAUUUUUGGUGGGAAGAGAGGAAGUUUCUUGAGAGUUCUCUAGUUGAUCUAAGAAUCAAGAUUUACUUCAAAGAUUAUUUAUUUCGGGACAUCAGAACACUAACCACAAAAAGAGAUGAGAAGGGGGCUAGGAAGGUCUGACUACGGUCCUACAAACACCGAUCCGAACGAGGUGGAAUACGUCGACCGUUAGGGCUGUCACUACCCUAGGGCUACCACAACAAUCCGCAGGAUUAGGUGCAAUUCCAGGUAAUUGCAAGACUAAACACCACGUUUAAUCUAUUAAUUACUACUCUAAUGUUGCAAAGAUUAGAGCACUUGAUGCAAGCGGGAAUCCAAUAAAUAACUUGAAUGUAAAUAAAAGUAAUUAAAGAACUCAGGAAUUAUGAAUUGAAGAACCUAGAGAACGAUGAAGAACGAACCAGUUGCUGCAAAAGUACAAUGUUGAGGAAGAUCCGACAGAUCUGGCUCCUCCUCCUCCGCUCUCCUCUUCUCUCUCCCUAUUUUCUAGGUUACAACUAGAACGAACUAGAACUAGAACUAGAGGAACUAGAACUAGAAGAACUAAAACUAGAGGAACUAGAACAAGAACUAGAUGAACUAGAGGGAUCCUCUCUACUUGGAUGAUGAAUUGAAACCCUAACUUUGAUUCUGUAGAAGCGGUAUGAUCUUCAGGGGCCAGGGGGUCUGGUUUUAUAGUCCCUUCAAGUGAAUAUGGGCCGUUGAAUCAAACCAACAUUGAUUGAACGGUUAUCCUUGAUCCUUUAGGUCGGUGGAGAUUGAUCCCAAAAGAGAGUCCUGUUUGGACUCUAGGAGGGGGCGGGCGCCCAGGUCAACUGGGCGGGCGCCCAGUGCCUGGCCCCGUUCGGCCUCCGCUUCCUUCCCGUGACUUCUGGAGUCUUCUAGAUGGUAGAAAAUAGCGCGGCACGUUAAUAUCUCUUUGUAAUCCCGACAUGUGGCCUUUCUUCCAUAUUUCCUGAUAACCACCUGCAAAAAUAGACAAACACCAAAACUCGUGGAAUUCUAUCAGAUAAAACCAUAAGUCUAGGUGUUGGUUGCAUUUGGAUCCUUUUCCAUGAUUAGUUGAUAGUUAAAUGUGAGCAUUAAGGACUGUCAACAAGCUCCCCCAAGCUUAACCUUUGCUCGUCCCUGAGCAAAGCUAAAAUCAACAAGAAAACAGGGGUUACUUUUAUGCCUCUUACUACAGGGUUGUUAAGUUAUCACUAAGGUCUUAAGUGAUUGAAAAAUAGAACGAUCAAGUCAAGCACUAUGUCUCAAGUUCUUCUGUCUUACCUUUGUUCUGGAGUUUUCUGUAAGUUUCCAAAAUAAAACUUAGGCAUUUGCCUUCUUCUCGAAAGAUAUAUAAGUAGAUCUUUAAAAGUUUUAGCAUACUUACUUUGCAUUUUGCUAUGUCAAUGCUCGGAGCAAGGGAGAGGAAUGUCAUACUCCUAGAUCAAGACCUUUGACCUUUUUGAAAAGUUUGUCAUCUCUUACUGGAAUAUUGCUUAUUAGAGGGACCAUGGGCUAUCAUUUUUUUCUUUCUUUCUUUUCUUCAAUCUCUCUCUCUUCUUUUCUUUUCUUCCCUUUUUUUUCAAGUGGGCACCAAGUACCUCUAAUUCUACUAUCGGACACGUGUCCAUUUUUUCCACUCAGGUGGGUAUCUUUGUACCCCUAAUUCUACUUCGGACACUUGUCCAUUUUUACCGCUCGUCUCACUCUCUUUUUUUUCGAAUCAAAUUUUUGCAUAGUCCCAUGCCUCUAAUGCAAUAAUACUUCAAAAUAGUGAAUCUUUUAUAUUUUUAAUACAAAAAGCUCUUGAUCUUUGGAGCAUGAUAAUUCUCUCAACCAAAACUACAAGAAUUAACAAUGGCUUGAACAAAGCAAGUGCCCAUAGUUUUAAUAUUUAUAUCUAUUAAGACUCUAGGUAUUAUGGCCUCAUAAUUUUUUAUGAAUUUUUAGAUUUUCAAAAGAUAAAAUCUCCAGAACUCUAGCAAAACUUGGAACAAGUUAAAUAGUAGCUCAGACCUUCUCAUAUCAUGUUUGUCAAUUACCUAGACUUGGAUCAAACUUUCUUUUUAUUUUAUUUAAAACUUAGGAUUACACAGAACUACUGUAUAUUACUCAAAAGAAAAACUUUGUUUGGUUUCAUAAUUAUGCAUUUUUAUUUAUUUUUGAAUACUAGUAAAUAAAACCAAGAAAGAAAAGUAAUACUUAUCUAGAUACACGUGGGGAUGUCUCCCCCAAGCUGGAUGUUGACAUAGUCGUUCACUCUUGUGGCCUGCUUGUUUGGUCUCACUCAUCUUAAGCCUCAAAAUCUUGCACAACCCAAAUAGACAACAAAACUUGUGGAGCAUGUUAAGGGUUAGGUAAUUGUAUAGAGCUUAU
rnacentral:lncRNA from 1 species